AUGGGUGAGCCGAGUUGCCUCCGGGGGCUUAAAGUCGCUAUUAUGCAGGCGCCGACGCCGCUGGCCCGGCCAGCUCGGCAAGGUGGGGUCCCCUCCUCGCCGCGCCUCCCCGCGCUCGCCCCGGCCCCGCUCCCUUUCUUCUCCUCCUCGCGCACUUGGGAGCCGCCGGGGCGCCCCGGGAACCCCAGCUCCGGGCUCGCAACUCCACGCCCGCGGCCGGCACAGGCCGGGCUCGGGACGCCCCCAGCGCCGCGUGUUCGCGCCGCCCUCGCCCCACGCGGCGCCCCGCGCACUUUCCUCGCCGCAGACCCACCUCGCCCGGUGGCCGUCCCCGCGCGGGCCGGCGCCGCCGCGCCAGGAGGGACGCACUUUGUUCGCGCCGGUGCGGCCGCCGCUCCCGGCGAGCGCGGCGUGGUCGGUCCGGAGCGGGGGGCGGGGGCGGGGGCGGGAGGCGGGGGUCGCCGCCGUCCCCGAGCCGCCGCCGCCGCCGCCGCCGCGGCUCAGCCGCCCCGCGCCCGCGCGCCCAUCGCCCACUCGCACUUGAGUUGCAGCCCAACUUUUCCUCCUUCCUUUUUCUUUCGAAUGGAGCCGGCAACUCGUGCUCGGCGCCGGCGGGAGGAAACGCGCUCGCGCUCCCCCGCGCGCAGACACGCUCCCUCCUGUCCCCCGUCCCCCCCCACGCCGGCAGCACAACAAAAAGCCAUUUACAUGCGAGGAAGUGACCCUCGGCCGGACCGCGCGCACCCGCCACCGCCGGCCCUGCGGACGCAGGCAAAAGUUGGGGCGCCGGACGGCGCUCCGGGCGCGGGUUCGGGCCCCGCGGGCGGCGACGCCGGCGACACAGCUCGGGCGGCGCUGCGCUCCUGCGCCGGCCCCGGCCCCCGCCCGCCCUCGCCCCUCGCCCCGCACACGCCCAACUCCUCGCUCCCAACUCCUCGCGCGGCCCCGGCCCCGGCCCGGAGCGAUUUCCUGCCGCCGCCGCCCCUCCCGGAGGCGCCCGGCGAACUCUCGCGCUUACCCGGUCGGUCGGGCUCCUCCGCUGCCCUGUGCCGAGGAGAAAACAAAACGCAGAGCGGGCUCCGGAGUUGGCUCGGCGGCCGCGGCCAGGGGCUGAAUCCACGGGCACGGAGUUGGCCGGGGGCGAAUGGGGCUCUGGCGAGUUUCAGGGUCUCCGGGUCCCCAGGCCGCCUUCUCAGCGGCGCUCCUUUGUGUAAUUUCACUCGAUUCAAGUUUAAUCCGAUAGUUCCCGAGCACGAGCGCGUCCGCACUACCACGGCUCAACCCCCGCGCCGCCGCCGCCGCCGCCGCCGCCGCCGCCACCGCUGCCGCCGCCGCCGCCGCCGCCGCGGCCCCAGCACGCCAGCGCCU
rnacentral:lncRNA from 1 species